rnacentral:sRNA from 12 species
ACGGCUCGGCUUUUCCUGAAGCCCUGCGUUCCACGCGGAGUAUUGAUGUAGGAAAAGCGGGGCAAU